rnacentral:rRNA from 1 species
CAGUAGCCGCGGUAAUACGAGGGGAGCUAGCGUUAUUCGGAAUUACUGGGCGGAAAGCGCACGUAAGCGGCUUUGUAAGUUAGAGGUGAAAGCCCAGAGCUCAACUCUGGAAUUGCCUUUAAGACUGCAUCGCUUGAAUCCAGGAGAGGUGAGUGGUAUUCCGAGUGUAGAGGUGAAAUUCGUAGAUAUUCGGAAGAACACCAGUGGCGAAGGCGGCUCACUGGACUGGUAUUGACGCUGAGGUGCGAAAGCGUGGGGAGCAAACAGGAUUAGAUACCCCUGUAGUCCCUGUCUCUUAUAC